GCAGAUAUGAUGUAGCUGGUAGCAUAUCAGCCUUCCAAGCUGAAUGGGCGAGUUCAAAUCUCGUUAUCUGCUCCA
rnacentral:tRNA from 1 species